rnacentral:lncRNA from 1 species
GAAAAUAGUAGAAUGGAUGUGUAAAAACCAAGGUGUUAAGAAAUGGUAUGAAAUGUUUAAUUAUGGAAUUUUGAAAGAAUAAUGAACAUGAUGUAAAUACAUAAUUAUGCAUGCUAGAAGCUCAUGUAUGACUUUUGUGAUGAUGGAAUGAUAAAUUGUUAGAUUGAUUAGCAUUGUAGUAUUGUGAUACAUGUUGAACUCGUUAAGCGAUUGACACGUGAAUAGAAGUGUGAUUAGUGAUGCGUAUGAUUACGUAUACUAACUAUUGAAUGGAUGUAAUGGAAUGAGAUAAUAGGAACGUGUCAAGGAGAGCUCAAGCAUAGGAGGAUAACGGGUCAAGAUAAGGCAAGGUGACAAAUACACUUAUUGGAGUACUCAAGGUUAUGAAUGUCGGACUUUCGAAGUGUUGAUAUAAUAAUGAAACGGUUGAAUGUUGAAAGGAUAAUCGGAUUGAAGUAACUUAUGCGGUUAGAAUA